UACAGAGGUCCCGAGCGUUGUUCGGAUUCAUUGGGCGUAAAGGGUGCGUAGGCGGCGGGGUAAGUUUGAUGUGAAAUCCCGGGGCUCAACCCUGGAAUUGCAUUGAAUACUACCUUGCUAGAGUACCGGAGAGGAAACUGGAAUUUACGGUGUAGCAGUGAAAUGCGUAGAGAUCGUAAGGAAGACCAGUGGCGAAGGCGAGUUUCUGGACGGUAACUGACGCUGAGGCACGAAGGCCAAGGGAGCAAACGGG
rnacentral:rRNA from 1 species